GACGAAGGGGGCUAGCGUUGUUCGGAAUUCCUGGGCGUAAAGCGCGUGUAGGCGGUUAUCCAAGUCGGGUGUGAAAGCCUUGAGCUCAACUCAAGAAAUGCAUUCGGUACUGGGUGACUAGAGGACCGGAGAGGAUAGUGGAAUUCCCAGUGUAGUGGUGAAAUACGUAGAGAUUGGGAAGAACACCAGUGGCGAAGGCGGCUAUCUGGACGGUUUCUGACGCUAAGACGCGAAAGCGUGGGGAGCAAACAGG
rnacentral:rRNA from 1 species